rnacentral:tRNA from 1 species
CGGGGUGUGGCGCAGCCUGUUAGCGCGCACCGUUCGGGACGGUGAGGUCGCUGGUUCAAAUCCAGUCACCCCGACCA